AUUGAACGCUGGCGGCAGGCCUAACACAUGCAAGUCGAGCGGUAACACAGGGAGCUUGCUCCUGGGUGACGAGCGGCGGACGGGUGAGUAAUGUCUGGGAAACUGCCUGAUGGAGGGGGAUAACUACUGGAAACGGUAGCUAAUACCGCAUAACGUCGCAAGACCAAAGAGGGGGGACCUUCGGGCCUCUUGCCAUCAGAUGUGCCCAGAUGGGAUUAGCUAGUAGGUGGGGUAAUGGCUCACCUAGGCGACGAUCCCUAGCUGGUCUGAGAGGAUGACCAGCCACACUGGAACUGAGACACGGUCCAGACUCCUACGGGAGGCAGCAGUGGGGAAUAUUGCACAAUGGGCGCAAGCCUGAUGCAGCCAUGCCGCGUGUAUGAAGAAGGCCUUCGGUUGU
rnacentral:rRNA from 1 species